rnacentral:misc_RNA from 1 species
UUUAAAUACGCAUGUGCACAUGUAUUAUAAUAAUCAGUUUCAGUUUGCCAAGUUCCACCUGCAACCUUUCUUGACUCAUUCAUUCAUGGAGGAAAUGAAUAUUAACUGAAGAGAAAUUUUAUUAAUGAUUGACACUUAAGUCAUGGAUAAAAGUUAAACAACAAUAAAUUACAAGAAAUCAAAGUAUUAAAAGAAUGACUUUAAAAUGUUUCUAAAUGAAAGAAAUUUAAUACAUUUUGUAUCUUCCUUCAUUAUUUAAUUUAUUCUGGUGCUACCAUAAUCAUUUCUAUAAAUAAUACACUGUACAUUUUAUUUUAUUUUUUGAUGUAUUUAUGAAGAGAUAUCCUAAAGAAAUGGUUCAAAUACAUUGGACUAUGCAUUCAUGUAUCAAACGCUUAUGGGAAAGAUUGAAAUUCUAUGGUUAUUUGAUAAAAUUAACUUUCGUAACUUUAUGUUAUAAUGAAUUUGCUGAUAAAUUUUAUGUUGGAGAUACGUGUAUGGAGCCGAUGUUUUGGUUUGUUGACCAUUUUACAAAGGCAAUGGGACCAAUAUUUGUUGUGGGAGUAAUCAUUUUAACUUUAUCUAUGAUUAUCAUUGCAUAUACAAUUGGUUUAUCAUUCUGGUGGCAAACUAGUAUCCCAUUUACUAUUCUAUUAUUGAUAGUGGGAAAUUGGCUUCUUGUUAAUGUCAUCUUCCAUUAUUAUAUGGCAUUUAUCACUUUACCAGGCUAUCCUCCUGAGGGAGCUUUGGUGCCAGAAGCUGUAUCAAUAUGUAAACGUUGUAUUUCGCCCAAACCACCUCGUACUCAUCAUUGUAGUGUUUGCAAUCGUUGCAUUCUUAAAAUGGAUCAUCACUGUCCAUGGUUGAACAAUUGCAUUGGAUAUUAUAACCAUAGAUAUUUUUUCAUGUAUUGUGUUUAUAUCUGGUUGAGUGUUUCUUUUGUCUUAUUGUUUGGUAUUCCUAUUGCAUAUGUGCAUUUUUUUGUUGAAGUGAGAACUCAACCAUUAAAUACCACCAUUGUUAUUCCUGAGAACAAAACCCAUCAACUUUCCACUUAUGUCAAGUCAAAAUCAGAAAAAUCUGAUUUAGAAACUUUUAUCAAAGAAAAGUAUUCAACGUCUAUUACCUCUACGACAGUCAAUAAUCGUUCUUUCGUUGAUUACCUAUAUCAUGCCUGUCUUGUUUAUGCAGCUUUAUUGUGCCUUGGUGUGUUUCUGGCAAUUGGAGCACUCACAAUGUGGCAUGCUCGGCUAAUAACUCGUGGAGAGACUAGUGUUGAAGCCCAUAUCAAUAAAAAGGAAAGAGAAAGAUUAGCAAAAGAAGGAAAGACAUAUAAAAAUCCUUACAAUUUUGGACCAAGGAAAAACUGGAUUAUAUUUUUAGGACUGACAAAUGGGAGGGAUUUACGACAUGUGUUAUUUCCAUCCCGACACAAACCAGAUGGAGACGGUCUGCGCUGGCACACGCGAAACGAAAUAAAAAUUAUCGAUGAUUGGAAUGUUAUCAUUGAUAGUGCCAAAGAGAAAUGAUCAUUUUUCUACUUAAAGAAUUUAUUGUCAUAGGAUUUAAUUUAUUUUCAAAAUUUUGGCCAUGAGAAUGUGCUGUGCUGUAAGUUUUUUUUUUGUGGAGGAUCUUGUAAAUAUUUUAAGUAUUUCAUAAAAUGCAGAAUUUAUUUCUGAUUCAUCUUAGACCUAACCACUCUCAUUAAAUUUCUCUCUUUAAAAUAUGAGUGAGUUAUUUUUCAUAGAACAACUUAUUACUUUACAUGACAACCAAAACAAAUCAAAGAAUAAAGAAACAAAUACAUAUACACAGAACUUAUGUGCAGAUGUUCAUGACAUGCAAGUGUAUGAGGACUGGGAAAUUGUUUAUUAAUGAAAAUAGUAAUUGAAAAGCUGAUGUAGAGUGCUAAUCUUUGUAUUCCUCUAAAACUUUUAAAAAUCCAUAAUUAUGAAUAGUUACUACAAACAGUUUUUAGAUGGUUUGUUUGUAUUACUUGGCACAAGAGCCAUGUAGGCUAUGCUGCAUAAAGGAUAAAUGACAAAUACAUAGCCUAAAAGUUUAACAAUGGCAUUUGGUUCCACUGACAUUCCAACUGGAAUUUUUUACACUACCUCUGAACCAGUUGGAUAAGUGAAAACUAUUAAUUCCUUGAAAAGAUUGACAACUCACAAGAAAAUUGUAUGUGAUUUGCAUUUUGAUUAAAGAUUUCUUAUUAAGAAUUAAGUUCAUAUAAUUGAGGGUAAAACAGUUGAGAUUCCCCGUGGAAAAUGGCAACUAACACGAGAUGCUUAUCGUUCGAGUUUUCCCAAUUGCCCAUCAUAUUUGCCAUUUAAAAGUUCCUAAAUUACUGCAGUCUCCAAGAAAAAGGAAAACUACUGCCAACAUAAAUAAUAAUUCAAAAGUUGCAACAAUAUCAAGUAAAAUGACCUUUUAGUAAUGUUUAAAAACGUUAAUAAGUUAUUUGCUUUUUAAAAUAACUAGCCGAUGGUGCAAUUGAAGAUCCAUCAAAUUCACCUUAUGAUGUAUUAUCAUCACCACUAUGUAUAGCAUGUUAUAGAAAUAGCAUAAAUAAGUUUGUUUGUUUGUUUUAAGUUAUGGCAACGCAACACUUUGGCGAACACUUCUGCCUAGGG